GACGAACGCUGGCGGCGUGCCUAAUACAUGCAAGUAGAACGCACAGUAUAUACCGUAGCUUGCUACACCAUAGACUGUGAGUUGCGAACGGGUGAGUAACGCGUAGGUAACCUGCCUGGUAGCGGGGGAUAACUAUUGGAAACGAUAGCUAAUACCGCAUAAUAUUAAUUAUUGCAUGAUAAUUGAUUGAAAGAUGCAACUGCAUCACUACCAGAUGGACCUGCGUUGUAUUAGCUAGUAGGUGAGGUAACGGCUCACCUAGGCGACGAUACAUAGCCGACCUGAGAGGGUGAUCGGCCACACUGGGACUGAGACACGGCCCAGACUCCUACGGGAGGCAGCAGUAGGGAAUCUUCGGCAAUGGACGGAAGUCUGACCGAGCAACGCCGCGUGAGUGAAGAAGGUUUUCGGAUCGUAAAGCUCUGUUGUAAGAGAAGAACGAGUGUGAGAGUGGAAAGUUCACACUGGACGGAUCUACCAAAAGGC
rnacentral:rRNA from 1 species